AUCUGGCUGGUGGGUUAUGCUAAUCUGACUGGUAAGUAUGGUAUUGUAGCUACUGUACAUGUCCCUCAAUUUCCCAGUUCCAUGUGUCAGGAUGCUAAUAUGGGUGUUAAUAUAUUGCCUUCCAUUUUGUAAUAUGUUAUGCCGCCGCCGUCCGUAGCAACGCAUAGGCCGCUUGCCCAGCUCCCUCAUUCCGGGCAAGACACCACGCGUCGGAGCUUGUCGGGAGGCACGGAAGGACGAACAGAGUUCUACUGGUGAUCCAUGUUGUCGCUGAUGGUGUCAUAGGAUCUGCGGUGCACGUGGACAAGGCGAUGGGGCUGCCAACAUGCCUCCUCUUCACCACAGCGCGUGUGGAUUCUUGGGCUACCUCAACUUGGAUCAGCUUUUUCAAGAGGGGAUGCUUGCCAUUCAGAGGAUCUGAUGGAGAAGAUAAAGACAACUAAUACGCUGAAAAUGAUUUUACAUCCUGGUUCGAAAAGUAAAAGGGAAAUCUUCGAGUAGAGAUUUUGAGCAUCUUGAAGGUUCAUCACUUGAUUUUCACUACUACAUCAUGUUUUAUGUAACUCCACACCACCACAAUCUGGUAAUGCAAUUCGACCUCCCUUUCUCUGUUCUGAGUCAAUGUUAAUCAUCCGACCAGAGUUGGUCAAUGCUAGAGGAUUUGGCUUGGUGGUGGCAUUGCAUAUAGCAGCUUGUGGAAUGGUAAUGUUGCUACCGUAGCCUUAAUUGUUUUGUAGUUUCAUUCUAGGAAGCAUUUAGGCUGUUAUGAACCUGGAUGUUUCACUUCAGGUUGGUUAAUUCAACUUCUUGCUGUCACUGAUGUAUUGUUUUUCUUUAACCUGCUAGGAGUCUUGGGUACUGUCAUGGUUAUGAUGUCGAACAAAACAACCUUCAUCGACAGUUUGUCUAUUUUUUCAGGGAUAAACUGCCUUAACCGAAGCAGCAUAUGUUGGAGAAUGUAGAUUCAGCUUUCGUUUCGGUAGCUUUUGAGGUAUCCUAUACGACUAUGAGUGAUAUACUCUCCUGUCUCCUCCCUCCAUUUUACUCGAGUUAACCCCUGUACGCACAUCUCUAUGUCUGCCUUCAGGACAAUUGCAGCAAGGAAGUAAGCCAAAGAGAAAAUGUCGGUGGCUUCAAAGGCCUGACCAGGUUCACCCAUGAGGUCGGAAACACUGGAUCAAUGGGCUCUGAGGUGACUUCUUUAUGGUGCAGAGGUUCUGGGAUUUAACAAUGUCAAGUGGGCCUCGAUGAUGAUGAUGAUUCCAGAAGCGAAGGAUCAACUAAAGUGGCAUUCGAGGCAAUAGAAAUGGGAAGAUCAGCCUUCUUUCUGGAUUCAGGCUUAUCAAACACUUUUGGGUUCAAGAUUCAGGACAAAAAAGGCAGGAUGUACAUAUUUAACUCUGUACGAAGAUGAUGAUCACCAUACUCUCAUCGGAUACCGACCUUAUACCGGCUGUGGACCAUGCAAAACAAAUCGGUUGGAAGGGAGAUACCAUCUGUCAUACUUUUUAGUUUUGUAUAGGUCGCGCUAAGGAUUCAACAAAUGAUGACCAAUGUGAUGUGCAAAGAUAAAAGUAAUAGACCAUCCGAAGUUUACUACAUGUUCUUGUCUUCUCUGUCUACUGCAUAUUUUUUCUUGUAACAUUUGAUAUAUUGAA